UCCCCCCUCCCCCCCCAACCACACCUUUUGGGUUUGGCAGUGUCUGGAGGCAUCGUUGGUUGUCACAAUUGGGUGAGGGGUUUGCCACUGGCACCUAAUGGGUAGAGGCCAGGGAUGCUGCUAAAUAGUGGUUGUUUAGCUCAGGACACCCCACCCCACCCCGUCACCCCACCUCACGGGCACAGACAAAAACUCAUCUUGCCCAAAAUGUCAAUAUCGCGGGGUUGAGAAUGUAGAACAAUCCCUUUUUCUGAGGGGAUACAUACUGAGAUAUUAGGCUGAAUCACAUGACAUUGUCUCUUGCGUAGGUCAAGUAUCGGCAAUACUUAAGGACGAAGGGUUAUGACGUUCACAACAAACUCUCAAAAUAAUGAACAAGCCCUUCCGCCCCGGCUGCCCCGCGACCUAGGGGACCCGAGAAGGGCGCACUAGCCCGGGGCGCGGAGGCCAACGCCGAGCCUGCGCGGUGGGAGGCGCUGAGAGCUCACUGCGCACGCGCCGGUCGGCCGGCCGCACCCACGCGGCUCAGCUCGCGAAGUUGCAGACAGCCCGGCGAACCGCUCAAUGCGCUUCUUCUGCCCGCCGCAGAGAAAGGGAAAGAAAACUUCGCAGGGGUUCCGUUGGCUUCUCGACGACUGACAAAGAUGCUUUCCCAGAUAGAAGACCGGAGCCCUGCUCCUUUGCGAUCCGCCAAGGGCUGCAGAGAGCAUCCUCAUCCAUUUGGGCACCCCUGUCCAGGAAGAGCCCGGCCAUCCCUUUCCAGAUUGGAUCCUUCAGAGGUGAAUUUUCUUCGGUGGAUUCCGAUUUGCUCCGUCUGACCAGCCUAGGCAAUCCAGCAUCGCGUGGUACCAGUGCCCCUGGGCACACUUGCUUCACGCCGGCGCCAGCUCCGCCUCGCCAGCAAGCGCAUUCCCAGGUGGUCAGGCUCAGGAUGGACCAUGAGCUUUCAAAAAGGAAAAAGGUGGAAAUCCUCAACUAUGCUGCCAUCUGAAUAAGUGUUUCUUUGUAGCAUGCACAGAGUCAAGGAAAAUUACAUCCCUGCAUUAUGUAAUGUACCAACAACGCAGUUACCCACUGUUUUAAUCUAGGCUAUUCUUGAAAGCAGAGCCUGAGACAAAGGUAGACACGUUCUAUUUAUGAGUCUGACACGCAGGAGCAGGAAUGAGAGGCAGGGGAGUGAACAUGGGAAAAGGGAAAGUAAGUCCAAGCAAAACCAGAUACUGCUGUUAUCAAGUGGUCCACCCCUAUUAAUGGCUACAUAAUGCAGAACUUUCUUAGGAUUCUUCUUAAACUUUAUCUCAGAACUGUCUGCCUUAGGGAGAAUGGAGAAGUAUUUCUCCAUCAGCAGUCACCUCCUGUUUGUUGAGGGCUGCUCCUUUGGGGCAUUAACUCACCGCCCCCACCACCCCAUCCCUCUGGGCUGCAAAGAACUGAGAGCCCACAUGGUACCUCAGCAUCGCACAUUGCUACAUCAGAGAGGUCUUAAGACAGGAAACUAGAGUCUUGGUGCAUGCUCAAAGUGAGACAGUGUCAGCACAGAAAAGUGUAAUAUCUUCCAUAACUGUUCAACAGAGCCAUGACUGGACUCAGAGGUUGAGAAGAUAUGGGACCGUACACAAGAAGCAUCUUGUAAGCCUGCAUAACAUACUAUUAGACUCAUCGAAAUCUGUUUCAUUCCUUCUUUAUAAUCAAAACUUCAGUGUCCAGAAUAAGGUUGGCAGAAGGGUUAUAUAGGAAAGUUAAAUGCAUUAGAAGGUGUAUAUUUAUAAGUUUUAACCUUGAGUCAUGUUCAAGGAGAAAGUGACAUUGGAACUCGGAAAAUUAAAAAAUGAUUCUACUUGAAAAAUUUGACCAUUGCAUAGAGAUAUUAGCUAUUGUCUAAUCUUUUGUAACCUCAGAAACAAUUGUGAAUUGUUUGGUGAAAAAUGAAAAAAUAAAAUUAACCAUUUCUUAUGUCUCCAUGAGCUUUAUAGACCAAUGUCACUAACUUUUCUUAAGAUAAUUGUUUCCUACUGUCAAAUAGCUCUAGUGAUAUGCAUCUUACAAUCAAUGAAGGGAAAACUGAUAGAAACAUAGGAAGAAAAAUACUGGGGUAAUUUUCAUCGUAUAAAGUGUUAGCAUUAACAUUGGUUAGAAUAGAGGAGAAACUGCAUGACUUGAGUGGACAUUCCUGUAUGUUGUAUGAGGCCCUAUCUUAACAGAAAUAGUGAUAUCAUCAUCAUCCUCUCUUAUUUGGUCUUGAAUUGCCACCAAUAGGAUAAAACCUUUGAAUUAUUUAACUCAAUAUAUGUUAAGUUUCUACUAUGUGCUAUGUAUUGGUACUGUAAAUAUGAAUAAGACAUAAAAUAUUACAUUAAAAAACAUCAGAAUAUAUGUUCUUUUAAGGUAUACCCCAAAACAUUUACCACAUGUUCUGGGGUGCAUGUUAGGCUGUAUCACAAAUCAAGUCUUAAGAAAUUUCAAAAGAUGGAAAUCAUAUAGAGUAUAAAUUAAACCAGAAAUCAA
ensembl:lincRNA